rnacentral:rRNA from 1 species
GACGAACGCUGGCGGCGUGCUUAACACAUGCAAGUCGAACGGAGUGGCGAACGGGUGAGUAACACGUGGGUGACCUGCCCUGCAAUUCGGGAUAAGCCUGGGAAACUGGGUCUAAUACCGGAUAGGGUGGGAUGGGCCCGCGGCCUAUCAUGUUGUUGGUGGGGUAAUGGCCUACCAAGGCGGCGACUGGUAGCCGGCCUGAGAGGGUAGACGGCCACCUUAGUCCUGAGGCACGGACCAGUAUCGUACCGGAGGCAGUGGUGGGGAAUCUUGCACAGUAAGGGGACGCCAGAUGCGGCGGCGCCGCGUGGGUAAUGACCGCCUUCGGGUUGAAAACUCCUUUCUCAGUAACCGCGGUAGAUGGAGAAGAAGCACCGGCUAACUACGUGCCAGCAGCCGCGGUAAUAC